UUACACUCACUCUCUUCCCUUGAUUCGGAGGUUCCUGUGGGACUGGAGCCUAUCUCACCGCUGGACUUGCGGACCGAUCUCAGGAUGAUGGUUCCCAUGGUGGACCCCAUUAUGCGCGAGAAGCAGCUGCAGCAGGAGCUGCUCCUGAUCCAGCAGCAGCAGCAAAUUCAGAAACAACUGCUCAUUGCAGAGUUCCAGAAGCAGCAUGAAAACCUGACCCGCCAGCAUCAGGCCCAGCUCCAGGAGCACAUUAAGUUACAACAGGAACUCCUAGCCAUUAAACAACAGCAAGAACUCCUUGAAAAAGAGCAGAAACUGGAGCAGCAAAGACAAGAGCAGGAACUGGAGAGGCAUCGCAGGGAGCAGCAGCUUCCUCCCCUCCGAGGCAAAGAAAGAGGACGAGAAAGGGCAGUUGCCAGUACAGAAGUGAAGCAGAAACUUCAAGAGUUCCUGUUAAGUAAAUCAGCUACAAAAGACUCUACAGCAAACGGGAAGAAUCAUUCCAUGAGCCGCCACCCCAAGCUCUGGUACACGGCUGCCCACCAUACCUCACUGGAUCAAAGCUCUCCACCCCUGAGUGGGGCCUCGCCACCAUACAAAUACACUUUACCAGGAGCACAGGAUGCUAAGGAUGACUUUCCACUUCGUAAAACGGCUUCAGAACCCAAUUUGAAGGUACGUUCAAGAUUAAAACAAAAGGUGACAGAAAGGAGAAGCAGUCCUUUACUCAGGAGGAAGGAUGGAAAUGUCAGUUCAUUCAAGAAGCGUCUUUUCGAGGUGACAGAAUCCUCAGUCAGUAGCAGCUCCCCUGGAUCAGGUCCCAGUUCCCCAAGCAACGGUCCGACCAGCAGUGCAACAGAAAAUGAAACCUCAGUUUUGUCGUCUAACAUUCAAGCUGAGCACCUGGUUUCCCAGCAACGCCUUUUGAUACAGGAUGAAUCAGUGAACUUGUUGAGUCUGUACACAUCCCCCUCUCUGCCCAACAUCACCUUGGGACUUCCAGCAAUACAACCUCAGAUCAGUGCUUCAUCAUCAUUCAAAGAAAAGCAGAAGGGGGAGACCCCGUCACUUAGACAAGGAGUGGCCUUGGCUGGACAGUAUGGAGGGAACCUUCCUCCGUCGUCAACUCAUCCUCACAUUGCUUUGGAGGGAAAGCCAAACAGCAGCCACCAAGCUCUCUUGCAGCAUCUGUUACUGAAAGAACAAAUGAGACAGCAAAAACUUCUUGUGACUGGAGCGGUUCCUCUUCAUCCACAGUCUCCUUUAGCAGCAAAGGAGAGAGUCUCACCUGGCGUAAGAGCUUCCCACAAACUGCCUCGUCACAGGCCACUGAACAGAACCCAGUCAGCUCCUCUUCCUCAGAGUACUUUGGCUCAGCUGGUCAUCCAGCAGCAACAUCAGCAAUUUUUGGAGAAGCAGAAACAGUACCAGCAGCAGAUCCACAUGAAUAAGAUGCUCUCUAAGUCCAUUGAGCAGCUCAAGCAGCCUGGCAGUCACCUGGAGGAAGCUGAAGAAGAGCUUCACGGAGAUCACUCGAUGCAGGAAGAGCGAGCUCCCACCAGUGGUGCCAACGUUAGGGCUGAGAGCAGCAGUGCUGGUGUGGAUGACAGAAUAGGACAGCAGGUGGGGGCUGUGAAAGUCAAAGAGGAGCCACUGGACAGUGAUGAGGAUGUUCAAACCCAGCAAAUGGAAUCUGGGGAGCAAGCUGCUUUUAUGCAACAGUUCCUGGCACAUCAGCAUGUCCACCAGUUGCAAAUCUACCAGGCUCAGAUGGCUACAGUUGGCACGGCAGGAUCAGAUAAACAUCGACCACUUUCCAGGACCCCAUCUUCCCCUGCUGACUCCACAUUACCUCACCCAGACAUGGACCAGCCCAGCCAGCACAUCUACACAACUGGUGUUGUGUAUGACAGUCUGAUGCUGAAGCACCAGUGCAUGUGUGGGAACUAUGCUAAUCACCCCGAACACGCUGGAAGAAUCCAAAGCAUCUGGUCAAGGCUGCAAGAAACUGGGUUGCUAAACAAGUGCGAGCGAAUUCGAGGUCGAAAAGCCAGUCUGGAGGAAAUACAGCUGGUUCACUCUGAACAUCAUUCACUGCUGUAUGGCACCAGCCCACUGAACAGACAGAAGCUGGACCCCAGGAAACUCCUAGGUCUGUACAGUUUAAAACACUUGGCAAGCACUGUGACAAAAAUUCACUUUUUCCAAAUCAAAAUACACCGGGGGUUCUGCUUUUUUAAUUCGAUUGCAAUUGCUGCCAAAUACUUGAGAGACAAGCUAAAUAUAGGCAAGAUAUUGAUUGUAGAUCUGGAUGUUCACCAUGGCAACGGUACACAGCAGGCUUUUUAUGCUGACCCCAGCAUCCUGUAUGUUUCCCUCCAUCGCUAUGAUGAAGGCAACUUCUUCCCUGGCAGUGGAGCCCCAAAUGAGGUUGGAAGUGGCCCUGGCGAAGGGUAUAACAUAAAUAUUGCUUGGACAGGUGGCUUGGAUCCUCCUAUGGGUGACGUUGAGUAUCUCACAGCAUUCAGGACUGUGAUUAUGCCAGCUGCCAACGAGUUUGAUCCAGAAAUUGUCCUGGUGUCAGCAGGAUUCGAUGCUGUGGAAGGCCACGACCCUCCGCUGGGCGGGUACAAAGUCACAGCGAAAUGUUUUGGCCACCUGACCAAGCAGUUGCUGAAGCUGGCGGGUGGCCGCGUGGUGCUGGCGCUGGAGGGAGGACAUGACCUUACUGCCAUCUGUGACGCCUCUGAAGCCUGUAUAAAUGCCCUUCUAGGAAAUGAGCUGGAACCUCUCCCGGAAGAUAUUGUGCACCAAAUCCCCAAUAUGAAUGCAAUAGCUUCUUUAAAAAAGACCACUGAAAUUCAAAGCAAGUACUGGAAGUCAGUGGAGCCAUACUCUGUGCCAGUGGAUUGUGCUCUGGCUGAGUCUCAGAAGCAAGAGAGGGAGGAAACAGAAACAGUAUCUGCUAUGGCCUCUCUUUCAGUGGAUGUUGAGCAGUGUAACAAGGCUUUCACUCCAGCCAAGUGA
ensembl:lncRNA